AGUGCCUCAGUCCUAAGUUCAAACUCAAGGAUCAGUACAAACAAAACAAGACAGAGUAUAUAACCUAUAGAACUAAUAUGCAAUUAUAAGAUAUUUGUAAAACUGAAGAGAUGUCCUGGGAAACAUCAUUCACUCACCUUGUCUAUGUUGAUAGGAUUUGCAACAACAAUAAAAAAAUCAGCAUGACCUAGAAAACUUUUUUCCAGAUAAGUAAAUGUAACCCAGAAGCACAUCUAUUAUUUCCAAAUAGGGAGAAUUGUAUUCUCUUAUUGCAAGGAUUUGUAUUAACACCUUCACGUUUUCCAUUUUCUUCCACAUCUGCUAUAAGCUAUUUGAACACUAAGAAUGAACAGUCACAAAGAAAAUAUGCGAUGGUCCAAUAUAUAUUUAGAAGAAUUAUAUAAAAUAGCAGAGAUCUAAGAAGAAUGUGAAAUCCUCAUGUAUUUCAUUACGUUUGAAAACAUUCAGAAGACAAAAGGAAGAGUUGGCUUUUUACUAUUUCACAUGUGAAGAGAAUGAAUUUACUUGAGGAAACUGAAACGAAGAUUUAUAUAACAGGGAAAAGGUCUAAAGUCUUUAAUCUAGAAAAACAAUACUUUGGAUGAGAAUCAAGAUACCUAUUCAUAACAGAAAUAAUUUUUCUGAAUUAUUGUUUCCAAGUGAGAAUGAAAUAAUUCUUGGUAUCAUUGUGCAGACCAGUUCAAGCUAGCUCAAAAGCUUAGUGACACUUACUUAAAAAAUGUGAAUUUGGGCUGGGAUAUAGCUCAAGUGGUAGAGUACUUGCCUAUCAAACAUGAAGCUUUGGAUAUAAGGGAGGGG